rnacentral:lncRNA from 1 species
GGGUCUCCAGGGAGGACCUGAGUUUUCUUCACCCAUUGUCAGGGAGGCGCCAUCGCCCUGGCUUUGGGGCUGGGGCCUCCGGGGAGGUUCCGGUAGGGGCGUUGGAGAGGCCGCUCUUUUUGCAAGGCCCGAGACGGCGGGCCUUGCGCAGGCCGCCCUAUUCCGCGCCCUCAGGGCGUCAGUAUCAGCCUGAGGCUGGAUACCCCCGCUGGGCCCAGAUGCCCCCGCUGGGCCCGGAGCAUCCUCCGGCGCUGCCCUCCCAGAGCCACGCAGAGGCUGAGGUGGCGCGGGGGCGGCCCUGGCUCCGCGAGAAGCGGCGGCAGCGAGGGCUGGAGGACCCGGGCUGCGGGGCUCCGGGGCGUCUGGCCUGGGUGGGACUGAGCCCAUCCAGGGACUGGGACUCCGGGGUUCUGGUGUAGGUGGAUCCGGGGCAGGCUCAGGACCAAGUCCCUCUCCUUCCACCAAGGAGCGCCCAGAGGCCGGCGGGAGCUCCAGGUUCACCUCCUCCUCCUCCAGGAAAUCCCACUUCCAACUGGAUGUCUGGAUGAACUACUGAAAGCUGCUGAGUGUCCUGCAGCAGGCCAUUUCCAAUCCAGCGGAAGACCUUCUAGAAGAGAUGAUGGUGGGAGAGUGCUGACAUACUAUGUGAAGCUACUAUUUGGAGUUGGACACGAGUGCAUGUGUCCUUGUGCCACAACGGGAAUCUUGACUACAACACAAAUGAAUCCACUCAAAUGUUGGCAAGUGGAGCAGAGUCCCAGAACAGUCUGCAAUCUCUACAGGUACAGAAACACCCCCAGUUCAAGGAUCUUCACACCUGGAUUUAGGCCUACUCCUGCAACUACCCCAGGUAAGUUUCCUUGUUCUUCAAUGGCAAAGUUUGGACAAUGCUGUUCAAACUCCAGGCAACAAGCAACAUCUAGGGAAUGUGCUUUUAGGUAGGGUCAGCAUAAUAUCCCACCCUGGGAGACAUUUUUAUUUUAAAGUUGUAGAGGGUGUUGCUGCUGUCGGCUCCCUGCCAAUCAGCACCAUUUGCAGCCUCUUUUGAAGACAGAGAACUGAGGGCUGUCCUUCGAAUGGAGCAGUGUGAUUCCAAAAAAAGAGAUGCUCCUUGUGGUCCUGGGACCAGGGAUAGGACUCCAGUUGAGCCUGGUGGAAGAGGUCCUUGUCCUACCCCAACGGAGAGCCAUGCAGCUGAGCUUGGGCGAUGUGGUCCACGUGGUUGUUUCUGAGUGUGUCCUGAGGUUGCAGGAUGGCUUGCAGUUCCCUAUGCAGAUCCAAUGCAUCUUUUGCUUUUUUGCUUCUACAACCUGGAAUUUAUAUGUUCAAGAUGGAGCCAUCCCAGCCAUGACAACAGAGAAUGUACCACUCUCACUUGAGGAAGAGGGGUAGGCAGUGCUCCUGUAUCACCAGCCCUUAAUGAGACCCUGAGGAAACCACAUCAUGGAGAUCAGCCCUUCUCUCCUGUAAGGAACUCAUCCUAUGAAAGAGCAAUUAGUGCCUGCAAGAGCUGUCUCUGGGACAGCGGUUCAUGUCUAUAUCUGCAGGGUAACCCUCAUAGUCAUAUGCAGUCAUAUCCAUAGUCAUAUCGGGAGUCAGAUUCCAGUUUGACUGAGUGAGUGGAGAAACUAAACAUUUAUUACUGAAUAAUAACAUUAAUAAACCAUCUUAAUGAUAGUAAUAAUAAACAUAUUGAUGAGUAUUAACAGGAAUGAUGAUGAUUAUUAUGAUACUAAUAUCCAUAAUUAACAAUUUUAAUAUUGAUAAUAAUACAACCCUGUGGACUUGGGACCUAAACAGCAGUUUCCCCUUACAAUUAUCCCAUAUUUGGCCACAGGGGGUAAUGUUGAGUUCCAGAAGGCAAGGAUUAACAUUCAGAAAAUAGGAAAAACAACCUGCAGGUAAGCAUGUGCACACAUUGGGACUCUAUGGAUAAAUACUAAAGUGACUCUUGUUCUGGAUCUCCAUGCUAACAAACAUGCACCAGCUUUCAGGAGGUAGUACAGCUGGCUGAUGGGGCAAGGCUUCUUGAGGACAUGGCAGGAGUCAGAAAUCACACAUGCUGCCCAGCAGCAGAGCUCAUGACAAACAGUAAACCCCAGCGAAAGGACCUGGCUGCCCUUUCUGCCAUCUGCUCUCCCAUGACCUCUCUUGACUGGUACAUCUAGGCACUGGAAUAACCUUCACUGGCUAUAGGAGGGCAUAAUCCUCAGUAUUCUCCCACCUGCAAGAAAGACAAAAAUUAAUUGAAUACCAUGGCUUCUGGGUAUCCUUAGUGGGCUUAGCGUAUUUUGCAUUUGCUUUAACAGGCCAGUUAUCCAGGCAGUGACUUUCAGUGCAGCUACAGUCACCUCUGGAAACCUGUGGAGACUUUAAAAAUUUCCAAAAGGUCAGGAAUUUUUGGAGACCUUUCUCAUGGCUACGUUUCCUGCAAACGUGAAUCAAUAAGCUUCUGAACUGACUUAGAAAAUGUUGCAGAGACUCUUGUGAACAGAUAGACCCUCUCCUGCCACUCAGAUAGAUGUAUCUGGGUCACACACACCUGAUUUAACAUCUCAUUAUCUCAGGUGGGCAACAGACAGCAAUUUAGGACCUAUCCCAGUGUGGAUGAAAGACAUUGAGUUGGCUUAGAAAAAUGUUAGAUAGACUAGAUGGGGCAAGAAAGCCCAUUCUGGGGCUCAAAAGCCUUCACAUAGAGUUGCUGACACAUAAAGGGUAUGUAUAAAUUCUUUCUCAGACCAUGAGAUCAGGAUGUACUUCAUCAGUAUACCAUGCUGGUAUAAAGAGAUUCUUGCCUCCAAAGGGACUCAGAAUAUUUCAGGGAACCUGUAUUAGUCCAUUUUUACACUGUUGUAAAGACACUACCCCACACUGGGUAAUUUACAAAGGGAAGUUGUUUAAUUAAUUCACAGUUCUGCAUCACUGGGGAGGCCUCAGGAAACUUACAGUCAUGGUGGAAGGCAAGACAGAAGUAGGCACCUUUUUUCACAAGGUGGCAGGGA